AUCGUCUAUUUCGCAUAAUCAUACCUUAUUGACUUUAUUCCCUUUCUAUUGCAUCGUUUUUCAUUUAUGUAUUUCAAAUUUUCGCGCGAUCGCGGCAUAACCGUUUCGAUAUAGCGAACCUCGAUUCCCUCUCUACGAUUGUUUCGAUCGGAGGUUAACUUCCGAAGGUUCAUCCCCACUACACGACUCUAGACAUCUCCCCCACCCCAUUGCACGUUCGCGCCAAGUUUGAUCGUGUACGCGCGAAUCUCGCGGCGAAAAUCGAAUGCUCUAUCGCAAUGUUCCGCACGCCGUUACAGAAACAAUAGACGUAGACACACACUAAUCAAGCGUACCCAUCACACACGCGAUCUUCGCCAGUCACGCAACAUGAACGCAGUCACUCACAGACUCAUCCAACAUAGAGUGGUAAUACACGUGACAGACACAAGUUGGAAACUACGCACACACAUCUGUAUAUAUACGACGAUUAUACACGUGCAGAGUAAAGAGAGAAAGAGAUGGAGAGCUCCAGCGCGUCUUCGCGUGAUCGAUGCAUUUGGAACGGGUACUGCACACGCGUUAACGAGACAUGGCCGUCGUCGUUUCGUUUGGAAUCCAACAUCGACGUCGAUUCGAGAUUCGUCCCGUAUCGAGGGAGUCACGAGUAACGGGUGUCGCACGAAGGAUCCUCUUAUCGCGUCGCUCAUCGAAGCCGAGCCUCGAACUGACAAUGAGGAGAGAUUCCAUCGGAGCUUGGACUGCCAUGUUGGCAGACGAUCUUCGAAUAUUGAUUACGCUCUGUCCGAGCAAUCCCGAUGCCAACCUGAAUUUCUGAUUCACCGGGAUACUUGUAUGCAGUCUGUACGCUCGAGAUUCCAUUGAAAGUGGUGGGGAGAAUUAGCGUUCUCUGGGUCGUUUCAUAAAAAACGACCCUUUCUUUCUUUCGCUUCGCGAAUGAUCCAAAUUAAUUUUAUACUAUGAUACAAACUGCAAGUCCUACUCUACACCUUUUAAUUUUAUAUAUUUUCCAGAAAGGAGAAAGUAGUUACCGUAGUAUGAUUGGAAAACGGUGAUUCUAUGUAGAGAUAAAUCAAAGUUAAGAAACGAGUAUGCUUCGCCUUGGCGGGAAUUUUGAAUAUUGAUAUUGAUUGAUUGAUGACUGAAUAUUUGAUAGAAGUUAUCUGAUUGAUCGUGACUGUCCUGAAUUUUCAACUAAUAAAUGUUGAUAUUAAAAGCACUUCGAAACGUUAAAAUUGAUUGUAACUCAUUUAUGAAAGCUUGAAAAAAUGAUAGAAGAUGAUUCUGUUAAGUUUAACGAAAUUCGUGCAUUUGAUUUUAUGUAUGUAAUUAUAUAUUGCCACCAUUUUUAAGUGAAUUUUAUUAUCAAUUCAGCAAAUUGUUAUAUUUGUGUAAAUGUAUCAAAGAUAAAUGUUAAAAAGCAAAUAAUUCACAAGGGGUUUCAUGUUUUACAUCAGCAUUCAAAUGAUUGUCAUAAAAAGAACAAAUAAGGUCAAAUAAAAUUCCUUCAUGUGAUAUGUAUCAAUAAAUAUAUGAAAUUUUGAAAUAGAAUUAAUGUUUAAACUAAGCAAAAGAUAUAAAAAGAUAGAAGCUGUAGGUUGCAAUGUUGUGAAUUUGAAGAAAAAUAAAGCUCAUGUUAUUAUACAAAUAUUUUCUCUACCACUUUCU